GUCCUUGUAGCGCAAUGGAUAGCGCGUUGGACUUCUAAUCUGAAGUUUGUGGGUCCGAAUCCCACCUGGGAUG
rnacentral:tRNA from 1 species